GGGCCUUUAGCUCAGUUGGUUAGAGCAUCCGGCUCAUAACCGGGCGGUGCGGGGUUCGAGUCCCUGAAGGCCCA
rnacentral:tRNA from 1 species